rnacentral:rRNA from 1 species
CCUACGGGGUGCAGCAGUGGGGAAUCUUCCGCAAUGGGCGAAAGCCUGACGGAGCAACGCCGCGUGAUCGAAUGAAGGCCUUCGGGUUGUAAAGAUCUGUUGACAGGGACGCUUAAGCAAUGCGAAUAGUUUUGUGUCUGACGGUACCUGACGAAUAAGCCACGGCUAACUACGUGCCAGCAGCCGCGGUAAUACGUAGGUGGCACGCGUUAUCCGGAUUUACUGGGGGUAAAGGGCGUGUAGUCGGGAUUUCAAGUCAGAUGUGAAAACCACGGGCUCAACCUGUGGACUGGAUUUGAAACUGUAGGUCUUGAGUGCUGGAGAGGCAGACGGAAUUCCUGGUGUAGCGGUGAAAUGCGUAGAUAUUAGGAGGAACACCAGUGGCGAAGGCGGUCUGCUGGACAGCAACUGACGCUGAGGCGCGAAAGCGUGGGGAGCAAACAGGAUUAGAUACCCGUGUAGUC